GAGCGCGCGGCCGCGCGCCCCGGCCGGCCCGCUCUCCCAGGUGACCGCCCCCGCCGCGCCCCGAGCUCACGUUGCUGAUGCCCGCCAGGUGCGGGAUGCCUCCAGCAUGCGGAACCAGAUGCCCAUGUCCAGCGCGCGCUCGGCCACCCGGCGGAUGAACUGGCGCGCGUCCAGGUGGAUCUCCACCCAAUUGCUGAGCAGCGCGAAGAGUGGCGCGAGCGGGCAGGCGGCCCCGAAGGUGGUAACGAAGCCGAACUGCAGGACUGCGGGGAUAAGGGUCACCGUCAGGCCCUCCGGUGGCCACGGCGCGCUACCCUGACUUCCGCCCGCCGGGUUUCAUCCGGUGAUAAGGACCACGCGCACCUGAGACCAGUGGCCAGACACUGCCCACCGUAAACCCUUCACCGCGCCCUUCAGGGAGGCGUGGGACCACCCCUGCCUGUGCCCACAGUCCCUGCUUUUACCCACCCCACAGGCUCCAGGCACGGCCCCCUUCUCCCGGAAGCCUCCCCGGAAUGCUCUCACAGAGCUGGGUGUGUUUCUGGCUGGUCCCCGGCCUCCCCCUGCCGCCUGUGGUCUGGGACUUUAACUGUCCUUCCCGGGCUGUGCCCGCCCUGUGGACUCGUGGCAAGAUUCUAGGAAGGGGCUCCUUGAAAGGGGCUCCUUGCUCUUAUGUAAGAUUCCUAAGGAGAGCCUGGGGCCCGGCGGCCUUCCGUCCAGUGGUCGCCCGCUCACGUUAUGAAGAAGCAUGUCCCUCCCUGUGUGCCUUCUGCCCUCUUCCUCCGCAGAACGAAGCCACUGGCGUCAACCCUGUUGCUCUGGCCGCCGGAGGCUCAGAGCAAUGCCUUGCUCAGAUGCAGCACUUUUGACUGUGCAGCGGUUCUCCCCUCUGUCAUCAAACAGAAGGGCUGCGUGAGACACAGACCCUGGCCUCAAAAAGUGCAGCCACCCCAUCCAUGCGGGGGAUAAACCCCGAACACAGGCCCCCUCCUGGCAAGGGCACUGGAGGGUCCAGCAAAGAGUGUGGGCAUCGAAAAGCUGUCCAGAGAAGCCCAGUUCCCCAGUGCUGCCUCCGUGCAACCUCGCCCCGGCCAGAGCACCCUCACUGCUCUCCUCACGCCCUGCGCAGGGCUCUGGCCCCGGUGUUCAGGGGCUGGAGGAGAUGAAGGCCACUCAAAGUGAGCCCCAUUGGGGGCCCCAGGUCCUCUCUGAGUCCCUGGACCUGGGGCGCUGCCCCUCCUGCCCUCAGCCAGCCUUUCUUGAGUGCUCCCCGCCAUGGCCCCCACCAUUCGUUUCCUGAUCUCUCCAGGCCUGACUCCAUCAGGGACCCCCUGUCAUACCCAUCCUUACAUUGUGUUUCAAGGCAGCUGCAGACAGGAAUGCUGAGGCUGGCAGGCCCUUUGGUGGUGCAGUUACCCUUCCCCAUGUCGCUGGUGGUCAUGGCACCUACCGUGGCCCCUGCCUAUCUCGAAGAAGUGAAGUGAAGUUGCUCAGUAGGGUCCGACUCUUUUCGACCCCAUGGACUGUAGCCUACCAGGCUCCUCCAUCCAUGGGAUUUUCCAAGCAGUAGUACUGGAGUGGGUUGCCAUUUCCUUCUCCAGGGGAUCUUCCUGACCCAGGGAUUGAACCCAGGUCUCCCGCAUUGUAGACAGACGCUUUACCGUCUGAGCCACCAGGGAAGUCCGUCUCGAGGUACCUGUCAAAUAGGCCCUCGAAGGGCAAAAUCUGGUAGUCCACCUCCCAGAGCUCCUGCCGGCCUCCAGGGAAACCCCUGCCUUCUUCUUCUGGGAGCAGAGCCGGAACCCUUGCCAGCAGCCUUUGGCUUCCUGGAGACAGAAACACCAGGAAGACGGCCCUGAGGGCAUCUGAGCCCACCCCUGGGGCCCAGGGUGGGCAGAGCGAGGGGCAGGCCUUCGGCACCCGUGUCCCCCUGGUGGGGCAGCGUGCCAGCCUCCCCCUAAUCUCCCUGAGGCAAGUCAGCGCUGCUCAGAGGAGGCGGCAGGAGCUACGUCAGGAGGGAGCGGAUGAGGACCCCAGGAUGCGAGUGUGUGGGCACUUCGCUGCCCACACUUGCACUCGUCCAGCUACACCCUGUCUGCUGUAAUCUUGAAUUCAGCUUCCCAGCACCGCCUGCCCUGAGAGUCAGGGCCACACCACAGAGGGCACGUGGCUGGGCUAAGGUCUGACAGCGUGGUUUGUGGUGCCCAGGAGUCUCCAGGGAGAUGAGGUGUGCAGGGGAUGGUGAGGGUCCAGCUUGGGUCCAGCCUUGGGCCGGAUGUGAGGCAUCCCUGGGUGGUCAGUGCAAGGGCUCUGGCGUGGGCAGGGCUGCGGUCCCAGGUGCCUUGAUUGCGGCCACAGUAGUGCCAGUGGGUGGAACCGGGGGAUGGGACCCCAGUGUCCCCAUUAGGGCACCGGAAUCCUGGGGCCUCCUCUUGCUCCUCCCUCCCUGAAGAAUGCCUGGCCCAGCCCCAGUGGGCUACACACAGGAUGGACCAGUGGUUGGGGCAGCACCCAGGAACCCAGGCCUCCUGCCCUCCAGAGGCAGUUCCGGGGCAAGAGACCCCAUUAAGAGCCUGCAGCAGCAACACAGGGUGGGGGCAUCAGAGAGCCUAUGGGCCAGUAGCUGGGUGGAGCCUCCCCUGCACGUGCCCGAGUCGCUGGGGUCCAGGUGGGCUGGACCUGCCUUCCCCACAACCUCUUCUCCCAGCGGGGCUGGCUACCCCAGCCACUCCUGGGUCCCACGGUCCCUGGAUGAUUUCCAGGCAGAUGGGGUGGGGUGGGAGACUCACCCCGGGGAGCAGAGGUACAGGAAUCUCACGGAUGGUGUUGAUGACCUGUUUGUCCACCAGGAUGACCAGGAGAUCCUGGGCCAGCUCGGCGAGGCAGCCCCCAGCUGCACACUGUGGUGCCCGCCCUUCAGGUUAGCUUGUGGGAGGGACCAGCCUCAAGGCACCUGUACACUUCCGGGCCUCCAAGGUGGCCCCUGCCACGCCCUCACGUUCUUUUCAGACAGGCCAGGGGCACCUUGAGGCCUACAGAGACCCUCCUUCCCUUCCUUCCCCAUCCUGACCUCAUUCAAGCCUCCGCAGUCUUCCCCAGGUCUAGCGGGCAGAUGUUAUGGGACAUCAGAGGCAUGGCCGUGUGGCACCCUGGGCUCUUUGGGGAACCACGUGGAGUCACAUGGGGUUGACCCUAGCCUGUGGAUCCGAGGCAGAUCCAGGAUGCAGGCAGGCCUCACCAAGCAGGGACCUGAUGACGCCAGUGAGAGGCGGGUCCUGGGGCUCUUAGGGGGAACCUGUGGGACAACAUGCCUUGUGCUGGGUAUUAAGCUAGAGGAUGUUGUCUUGGGCUCUUGGGACGUCAGCCCACACUGCAAGAUGUCUUCCCUACCAGGAGAGGAGAAUCUGCCUGAAGAAUCUGCCUGAAAACACAGCCAGUGCUGGGAAAGCAGUGCAAAAUUGUUCAAACACCUGGUUCCAGUCAGCCCUGAGCUCACAGAGCCUCCUGUGUUUUCAAUAGAGGAGCCCACGAAACUGCAUUUUUUUGCUGGAACCAUUUUGAGUUGGGAACUUUUCCUGUUGGUAACUGCAGGCUGCUUGCCUGCAGUGUGCCAUGCGCAGUCCUGCCCUGAGUCUCAGCCCAUCUGCCCUGUCUCCCCAACAUGUGAGCCUGGAGAGGGCUCCUUAGGGACAGCCCCUUCGCAGGGAGCUGUCAGACUGGGUCGCAGCUCUGACCCAUGGAAAGUUGCUGCUCUCCCUCCUCCUCCAACAAAUGGGAGCAGAGGGGCUUUCAGGGGAGGUGUUCCACGGCAACUCCUGGACCCCUACCUGUGCCUCCUUGGCCCUCAGCCAGGAAGGGACCAGAUGGUCAUCUUGAGGGUUUUUCUACAAUGUCUCAGGCGGGUUGGGGCAGGGUUGAACUCACAAGCCCACAAGCCCACAAGCUCACAGGUGGUGAACCCCUCUGGAGUGCUCCUAGGAGCACCUCCUUCUGCACAGCCCUUGUCCCCUGUGUGCUUCCCAGGGUGACAUCCGCACCCGUGAACUGAUCCUGGGCCUUUCCUUGGGGUCUGCUCUUGGGGACCCCGCACAACAGCAAGGGUUCAUCCUGCAGGAAACCAGCUUCCGCUAUCCAGAAAACAGUUCCCUGUCUCUCAAAGCUGCAGGUGAGCCCGCUUGUGCUGACGUGGGGGCGGGGGCGCCUUGGGGAGAAGCCCCGUGGGGGGCCGUUAGCCUCUGCACCUCCAGCUUGCUGACCGAGCUUGCGGCAGCGACGGCGGCUCACGGCCCAUGCCAGUGACUGGGGCUGGGUUCGGGUGCGAAUCGGGUGCCAACGGGGACAGGCGGAUUGUGAGCUUCUGAGUACAGCUGUCUGAGUGGGGCCCAGGGAGGGCCACCGCCGGCUCUCCGCGCUCACCUCUUCCUUGCGGACCCCGAGCAAGGUGUAGCAGUUGCCGGGGUAGCCGCCGAACCUGGGGAGAGCCAAGCCUCCGUUCCCCCGGCCGCCCGCCGCCCAGCUGGCGGAACCACAAGGUGGGCACGGCGGGCAUCGGGGAGCGACCCCUGUGCCAGCCCACCUCUCCCGAGCGUCUGGGCGGUGUCAGGGCCACAGGGGGCGGGGCGCGGGCGUGACCGCCGUGUGAGGCGCGGCCGGGCCACGCGUGGUAGGGCGGGGCCAGGGCUAAGGAGGGGCGGGGGCCAGUUUGGGAGCGGGCGGGGCGGGGACGGGCUGAGGAGGGGCGGGCCAGUAGGGAGUAGGCGGGGCUUGGGUGGGGCGGGCUGAGGCGGAACGGGGGCGUGACCAGGGCGGCCCCCAGUGGGCGUGGCGGGCUGAGGGGCGGGGCUAACUUGGCGUGGGCGUGACCUGGGCGGGGACGUGGGCGUGGCGGGCCCGGAUGGGCGGGGUAUGGGCGGGGCGGGCAGGUGUGGCCGGCGCAGGCGCUAACCGGCUCUUGCGGAAAGCGGUGUAGAAGCGGCGAGUAGAAACUGAGGAACUGUAAGAUGGACACCCUGCGGGUGAAAGCGCCCUCGGACUCGACCUGGGCGUCCCUCUAGGGCACAGCGAGUGCCUGCGUCAGACACCUCCCCGGCGCAGGGAGUGAGGAAAGGGCCUGCCCCCGGGCGUUCAAAGAGAUCCGUUCAGGAAAGAAGGGAGGGCGCGUUUCCGAAGCUCCGACUUCAGGACCUUCUGGAAGCGCUCCGCGGGUAGAGGAGGAGCCAGGCAAGUGCCGGAAACGGAAGCGGGUCACAGAAGAGGGGGCGCCCCGCCCCCCGCCGAGGCCCCGCCUGCCGGGAGCAGGAGCUCCGCCCGUGGCAAAGGUCAUGAGGAAGGAGGCUGGGCAUACGCAAAGGUGGGAUGGGGCCUCAGGAGUCCCCCUGGAAAUUCUCGAGCAUCUGCCCCCCAAACCAGAGUCUGCCUACUUUCUGCUUUGUGCUCUCACCUACACCUCUGACUUUACGGGGGGCUGUCCCCCACUACCUCUCUCUGAAAAAGGAGUUAACUUAUACCUCCAGUUAAUAAAGUUCCUGCGUGUGAUAGUGUUUCAACCUACAAACUCCUUUGGAAAUCCUCUAGCCUGCCUGAAUAGGUUUUUCCGGCCACAUGUGAUUGCUCAGACUGUGAGAGGCAUGAGAUGUUCUAAACUGUCUAAAUACAGAGUCCUUUGAGCAGUUAAAAGAUUGAUUAGAAAUUGUAUCGGUGAAGGGUUUUUCACUUAUUGGGCCAAUGUUUGCUGCUAAGUCUCCAUACCCCUUACCUAUUGUGUCCUUGGCAGUGUAUUGAUUGAUAUAAUGGGUGUAUAGAAAUGUAAGUAGAAGCCUCAAUGUUUGUAACCUUGGACCCUUGAGUUAAUUCUUUUCUUGAUUGAGCCCACCUCACCUUUGCCCUAUAGGAACGCAGCUUUGUCCAAUGCUUUUUGGAGGCUGGCGCCUGACUUUAGAAUAAUCACCUUUAGAGAAAAAUAAGUUUCUUAAAAUGUUAACAGGCCUCCUGGCCAGAAGAUGAUGUAAUUCACCUGAACUCUUGCAUGUGAUAAGUUUGAAAGCCUGGCUUUGAUUAGGAUCAGGAACUGCUGUCCUUGCAUGACACCAUCCCUUCCCCUAUUAUCCUCUAUGCACAACUUAAGGUAUAAAAACUACUUUGGAAAAUAAAGUGCGGGCCUUGUUCACCGAAACUUGGUCUCCCCAUGUCGCUCUCUCUCUCAAAUUCUGGCUGAGUCUCCAUCUGGAGCGCGGAACCUGCCACGCUUACUAAUUAUGCCUGGGCUUCUAAGAUCCGACUGAGGAGGCCUCAGUGUCUCCUCUCCUUCGGGAGAACGGAAGGACGCCUGCGGCCUACGUAAGUGGUGCAAACCUCUUGUCUUGAAGUUUUAUUGGUCUCCCGCGUAAACCAAGCUACUCAGCCUCUUUUCUCCACUGAAUUUCCUCACUGAGCUAUCCUCAUUCUUUACAUCUUUGAUAAAUAUUUAAAUGAAUAGGUCGCCUACUCCGUCUCUCCUUCGAAUACCCUGGAUCAGCCGGGGCUGGACCCCGGCACCCGCCCACUGCCGUUUAAGGGGCUUGGGGGGAGGACGGGACACGUCCCAGCGGCGCCUCACUGGAUCAGCCGGGGCUGAACCCCGGCACCUGCCCACUGCCGUUUAAGGGGCUUGCGGGAGGACGGGACACAUCCCAGCGGCGCCUCACUGGCCAGCGCCCAGCGCUCGGCACUCACCCCGUCUCGUCAGGACGUGCGCCCGGGCCACGUAGAUCUUGGAGAGCAUGAGGAUGAAGAUGAAGUGCACCAUGGACCCCGUGAGGCUGGCGAUGCGCGAAGCCUAUGUGGGACGGCAGGGUGAUGGAGGAGGGAACCAGAGCCCACCACCCAGCCAGCCAGCAGGAGCAAGGAUGGAAGCUCACCCAGGCUGCGAGGAUGCUGUUGUCUGGCCCAGACACCAGGAUGGCCGUGAGGGCCCGGUACACAGUGAUGGGCACCAGGCACAGAGCACCACGGCCACAUGCGGGGCAGCGGGUGCAUGAGCCUUGCGGCUGCAGCCUGACACCCCAGCACCCUCAGGGCACAGCCGCAUGCUGUCCCACUCCCAGACCAGGCUGUGCGCCCGGCCUCUCCUGGCGGGUUGCUGGGCAGCGAGUGGUGGCCGGCAGGGAGAGGAGGGGUGGGCAGUUCCUUAGAGUUAGAGGUAGGCGACUCAGCGACCUCUGGGCAGCACAGGGGCCUCUGUGUCUUGUUGUCAGCCAACCCCCAUCUCACUAGCUGAAACUGGGAAUUCUUGAGGUCUCCGAAGGGGGUCAGUUAGGAAGUCCCUCUGACUAGAGGGCAAGACAGGGUGAGGGGACCUGUGCUUGAAGGAUGGCCCAGGCCCCUGCCCCACACGCACCUGCCUCUUAUGGCCCAGAUCCCUAGCUCAGCCCCUCCCUGGAGCCCAGGAACACCGUGGCCUUUCUGAGGACAGUGAGGGCCUCCUGGGUCCCAGAGACAAUAUCACGCCCUGCCCCACAGCGGGGAGUGGGGGCUACUGCUCACUGAGGACAGCGGCCUGACGGGCAGCGCCCGGCAGCGGGGAUCCUCACCAUUGUCAGGACCACCACGGAGCUGGCCAGCACCUGGCGCAGGCGGCUCCUCUCAGGGCAAGUAGGGCUCGUCCUCAGUGGUGGUGGGAUUCAGUAUUGUGGGAGCUGAGGCGGAAAACUGGGGCCGCGGCCGCUCCCAGCGGGGGAGGGGGAGUGCUCAGCGGGGUGCGUGCUGGGGGCGGGGCCUCGUCGGGGCACCGCCCACCUCGAGGUCCCCGGAGUUCCAGCAGCCUCGGCUGUAGGCCAGCGGGCGCUCAUCCGCUUCCAGGAGCAGCACGGGCCACAGCGCCGUGAACAGACUCAAGAAGACCGCGCCUCCGUGGCCAGGGAGCCGCCGGCCUGGACGGGGCAGCGGGGCUCCCCCGUGCUUGGGACUGGGCCCUUUUCUCCCUCCUGCCCCGCCCUCGAGGAAUGCCCCCCAGCCCCGUCCCUCGCUGCCCACCGUUGUACCCUGGAGGCGGUGACCGUCUGGUGCACAGGAGGCAGCGGUGUUGCCGCAGAACCUCCCCCACCCCCCACUCAGGAUGAGAUGAGCCUGGGGACUCGGGUUGACGCUGCAUUGGGUGACACUUUGGGGCAAUGGGUUGGGGGUGACUGUAUUUUGCUCAUGGGGGCCAGAGGGUGGACUGUAGUGGCUUGAACUGUGCUCCUGAAAAGAUACAUCCUCCGGUACACACGUUCUGAUGGGAAGGCCAUCAGAAUACAGCCUUCCUUGGAAUAAAGGCCUUUGCAUGUGUAAUUAGGAUAAGGAGCCCCCGAUGAGAGCACCUGGAUUAGGGGGACCUGGAACCAGCGACAAGCCCUUGUAGGAGGAGGAGAGACAGACGUGGCCUGCACAGAGGGAGAGGCCACGUGAAGACGGGGGAGAGGGGAGCGGCGCGGCCACAAGCCAGCGGCGUCAGAGCCCCAGAGCCACUGGACAUUCGCACCUUCUCCAGAAGGAACCAGCUGCCACACCGGCAGUACUGGAUCCUGCCUGCAGAACCGUGAGAAAAGCAGCUUGGUUUUUUUUUUUUGCAGCUUGUUGUUUUAACGCCCAUUUGUGGUCAUUUGUUAGGGCAGACCUAGGACACUGGCAGAGACAGGUUCCCAGCAGGGUGCUGAAGGCGUGUCUGUCUGUGGGUCCAUCCUGGGCUCCGAAGCUCCGGCCCAAGUAGUGUGGGUGCGGGCCUCGCAGCUGCGCUCAGGGAAGAGCUGACCCACCCUGGAAGUGUAAAGGCUGAGGAAACCGCAGCCUGAGGACUCUGUGCCUGAGGGCGGCAAGGUCUGUGUGCUCGGGGUCCUGCGCUUGACCUUCCUGGCUGCCAUUCCUAAUAGCAGGAGGAACAGGAGGAGCUCCCACGGCGUCUCCCGCCCAGCUGCUCCGCUGAGCACUGCGGGCCGGGGGCCAGCCGGCCUCAGCCGGUGGAGACGCUGCCUCCUGGGUGAGUAACGCACAGGGUGCUCAACCUUGCAUGGUGCCGAGCGGGGCUCCCCAGAGGGGUGUGGCCGGACCAGGGAGCAGGGGACUGCCCUCCACCCUCGCCUGCCCACCCUCCUCUCUGGACCAGGGCGCAGGUGAGGGAGAGCAGCCAGAGGGGCAGACCGGGC
ensembl:lncRNA